rnacentral:tRNA from 1 species
GUUUCCUUAUUAUAAAAAGUAAAGUUAAUUUCCAAUUAAACAGUCCUCUAAUUUGAGGAGGAAAUA